AAGACUAUAGACCUGCGGAGUACCUGCGGAAGGAUCAUUACAGUUAAUGUGUCGGCGCCGCCUGCCCUGCCCCGUGUAGGUAGGGUGUGAGCGCGUCGUCCCUUAUACCCAUUUCACCCACACACACCUUGCGUGCACCCUCUAGGGAUGUGGGGUAAAAGAGGGGGAGGGCUCUUCCUUCCUUGAACAACCCCACAGCCCCUGCACCAUUUACAACAGCCCCGUCAAUCGCAUGUCUUG
rnacentral:misc_RNA from 1 species